AUUGAACGCUGGCGGCAGGCCUAACACAUGCAAGUCGAACGAGUGGCGGACGGGUGAGUAAUGUCUGGGAAACUGCCUGAUGGAGGGGGAUAACUACUGGAAACGGUAGCUAAUACCGCAUACCAUCAGAUGUGCCCAAAUGGGAUUAGCUUGUUGGGGGGGUAACGGCUAUCCAAGGCGACGAUCCCGAGCUGGUCUGAGAGGAUGCAGAGCCAUACUGGUACUGAGACCGGGGCCAGACUCCUACGGGAGGCAGCAGUGGGGAAUAUUGCACAAUGGGCGCAAGCCUGAUGCAGCCAUGCCGCGUGUAUGAAGAAGGCCUGCGGGUUGUAAAGUACUUUCAGUGGGGAGGCGUUACCCGCAGAAGAAGCACCGGCUAACUCCGUGCCAGCAGCCGCGGUAAUUC
rnacentral:rRNA from 1 species